AUGUUUCAAAGCCCAACGCCCAUCUCUGGCACUUCCUCUCCUCUUCCCUGCUUUGUUUUCUUUCCAGCACUCCCCACAGCUGGCCUCUUCUCCAGGCUGCAUCCCAGGAGGGCAGCCUCUGGUGCCUGCUGUACCCACUGCCGCAUCCCCGUGCCGCCACACUGUGCCGGGAGUGGAGUUUCUGCUCUGCACUUGUGGGUCCAUUCUGCAUCCCUAAACUUUCCAAGAAACUCCGGCGACCGCAGGAUCAUGCACACCAGCUGCCAAAGGGACCCGUUGCUAGCUGUCAUCACAUUUGAGGGAGCACUCCUGUUGAAACCCUGCCUAAACUUCAGGGCUUGUCUGGAAGGCUACCUCCUCCCAAAAGUCCACGCCAUCGCAACAUUGGAACCCUCCCUCCCUGGGCCAUCACAGCCCUGGCUCUCUCUUCCUAACUCCUCGGUCCUUUGUCCUUGGCUCUUCCCGCUUCUACAGCUUCACACUGGCUUUUGGGGGGCUCCCAGCCUCCCUGAUGGACUCAGGAUUGACUGUCGGUAGGGGUGAAAUGGGGUCUAGGGGCCCUCUGGGUGGCAGAGUCUGGACCUGGAAAGAGGAAGCGGGGUCACAGAUGUGGCUGUCACAUCUCUACCACCCAGAGGCAAAGCCACAGCCCCCGACUCUGGAGCCCCAGGCUCUGCUGUCCUGCCUCUGUACCUUAUUUGUACCCAACCCCGGCCUGGUGGAGCCCAGCUCUGCUGCCUGCUGGCUGCACCAUCUCCCGAGCUCUGGGUGCCUCUUAUUGGAUGGGAUCAGAUGGUACCUUCGUUAUCUGGUGUGGUCAGGUUGCAGUGCCCCACCCCACAUAGGACUGCCCUGGGUGGGGUGCCUGGGCCACAGCCCACCAGCCUCAGAGAAGAGGGUGCUGUUCUGAUGGUUACCCCAAGCACCCCAGAGGCAGGAGGCAGGCGUGGAAUGGAAAAAGAGGACUCAGGUUCAGCUCAGGCCCUGUAUGUGGGCCCUCAGGCCUUCUGCUCUCAGGCCCUGAGGCAGGUAAGUCUGUGCAUGGUGUGCAGCCAGAUUCAGGCACUCUGGAGGUCACAUGGCAUUUUGCCUUGGUGAAGUGGAGGAGAGCCACUAGGAAAUGAGUUGAGUUAUCUCUUUCAUUGCAUUCUUCAACCAUUUUAAUCUUCUUGGGGCUGUUGGUGGUGGUAAGCAUUUCUAAGGGGCACAAUGGAAACAAAUGGGAAAUUGUUAAAAUAUUGAUUGUAAUUUCCUGGCGACUUCACUGAUUUAAAAUAAUAGGAACCUUUAAGAAAAAAGCCCUCAUUAACAAGUGAACAGUUAAUUAAGGGGCUGUAGAAUGACUUGCAUUGAUUUCACCAUGAAACCAGAAUACCGUGGCUACGAGUCAAUUUCUCCCUCCCCAGGUCCCUGCUCUCUAGGAAUGGGACCUCCUGCCUGCACAGGUCAUGCCGAGGGGGUGUAGAUAAGGGUGAGGAUGGGGACCACCUCCUAACAGACGCGGAUACCAAAGUUGGGGCACAAAGGGAAAUCCAGAUGGAUUUGGAGCACACGCACAAUUGAGAGGGCUGUCGAAGCUCUCACACAGACCAAAGUAUGCAGAUGGCUUGCUAAUUAUUACUGUUCAUGCUAUGACAUUUUUUCCAGUAGCACAGGCAUGACUCAGACCCCACAUGGGAAGAGGCUCCAAGGCAGUGCUGUAGGACCCUCAGACCAUUUGCGAUUUUGUGAUUUAAAAAAAGGAAACAAAACAACAAAACAAGUCCAUGGCUAUCCUAGCAACAGCCAGGCUGCUGCUGCAUGGUCACCACAGCUCGCAGGAGGUUAAUAGGACCUAGUAUGGGGCCAGCUGGGGUCCACAUCAGGCAGGUGCAGUGGCCAGGACGUCUGGAGGAAAGUGCAGCGAUAUGUUCCAGGUGAUCUGGGUUUGCAGAUCAGUCACAGGAACAAUAAAAACCAGCCAGCUCCUGAUGGCACACCUGCCAUGUGCCAGCCCCCGUGCUUCACAUCCGGGAGCUCGAUGAAGCCUGGAGCAACUAAUCCCAGAGCUGAACAAGCUGAGGCUCAGAGAGGGAAGCGACUUGUCUGAGGCCACACAAUCACCCAUCAUGCACCCUGGAUUCGAAUGUCUCAGCAGCCUGGAACUGCACAGCCAGAGGACAUCCUAUCAGCGCAAGGCUCACCUCAAGGAGGGAAGUGACAUGUGCCUCACACUGGCAGCUCCAAGCCUGGCCGGCUUACCUCAGCUCGCGAGAGGGCUGUCACGUCUUCAGAGAUCGUGUCAGCCUGUUGGUGACGUGUUGGUAGUUGACACUGGCCAUCGUGGGAGUAGUCUGGCCCAGAGAUGGGCAAUUCUACAAACCAGGGUCGGGUGGUGAGCAUUUUCCAACACAGCAUUGCACGCUGAGGUCAGAGCUAGCCUGCCUGGUCCAGAGGCCAACCUGCUUGUUCAGCAGCUGUGUGGGCUGGGCACACUUGCUAUUUUGUGCACUGGAGAAAGUACCAGUGCCCACCACACAGGCUGUGGAAAUCGUUACGUAUAAUAACUCAUGCAAAUCCCCCAGGGCAGUACAAUCCCACACCUCAUGGUGACACUCUGGUCAAGGAUGAACUGCGUGUGCUAAGUGUCCCCCCAAAGUUACGGUGCAGCUGAAAAAUGUGGGCACCGAGUGAUGUCACAGCUUCCGUGACAUUGCAGCAAAGUGUGUGGCUCGUGUGUGUGCUGAUGCUGGUGCAAAGAAACCUACAGCACUGCCAACCCUACAACUGUGGCAUAGGCAGUUAUGUGUGGUGCGCAAUGCUUGGGAAUGAUAAGCAGCCGUGUCACUAGUUUACAUAUUCACUCUGCUUUUUAUUGUUGUAUUAUUUAUUUAUUUGGCUCUUUCAGACAGGGUCUUGUUAGGCGUUUCAGGCUGGCUUUGAACUCACUGUGUAGCCCAGGCUGGCCUCAAACAUAGCAAUUCUCCUGCCUCAGCCUCCUGUGUGUGGGGAUGACAGGUGUGUGCCACCGUGCCUGCCGCCUGCCUUUUUGUUAUUUUAGAGUGCAUUCUUUCUCCUUACACAAAUAAAAGUUUACCGGAAAACAUCCUGCCAUGUCAUACCAGCCUCAUACAUGUCAGAGUCACCCCAUGUCAUGAAUGCAUCGUUUUCUCUUGUACUUGACUUACUUUUGUGUCACUUUGUCCAUCGUGGUCCUUGGAACAAUAGGCAGUAGCACAGACGUCGCUUUGUAUAACGUGACCUCAGGGUGCAGGGGUCAUGCCGCCUAGGUUUGUAUAAGCGUGUUCUAGGUGUUCGCGCAAGGCCAGAGUUGCCUAAUGAUGCACAUCUCACUGUGGCGAAGUGACACGUGACUGUAUAUCUGUGCAGUGUCAGGUGUGCAAAGCUAAGUAUGUCGUGGGGAUUCUUCCCUACUGUAUGGCUGUGUCUACCCCGACGCAUGCCUUCCGCUCGAGUCCAGUAGCAACGUCCUGACUUGGGCGCCCCCAGGCUUGUCUCGUCCGGUGCAUCCUUCUUGCGGUCACUUUCUAGCUACAGAUCCUCACCUGGUUAAAAUAUCUCUAUGGCUCCCUGUUACUCUCAGGGAGAGUACUGAAGUACCGCCUCCGUUGUCCCCCUGACCUGUCGUUUCCCCAAAAUAAACAGAAUGUUCCUGGAU
rnacentral:lncRNA from 1 species